rnacentral:rRNA from 1 species
CGGAGGAAGGAAUGGGCAACGGUAGGUCAGUAUGCCCCGAAUAUCCCGGGCUACACGCGAGCUACAAUGGUUGGUACAAUGGGUAUCUACCCCGAAAGGGGACGGGAAUCUCCUAAAACCAAUCUUAGUUCGGAUUGAGGGCUGCAACUCGCCCUCAUGAAGCUGGAAUCCGUAGUAAUCGCGUUUCAACAGAACGCGGUGAAUACGUCCCUGCUCCUU